AUUGAACGCUGGCGGCAUGCCUUACACAUGCAAGUCGAACGGCAGCACGGGAGCAAUCCUGGUGGCGAGUGGCGAACGGGUGAGUAAUAUAUCGGAACGUGCCCAGUCGUGGGGGAUAACGCAGCGAAAGUUGUGCUAAUACCGCAUACGAUCUAUGGAUGAAAGCGGGGGAUCGCAAGACCUCGCGCGAUUGGAGCGGCCGAUAUCAGAUUAGGUUGUUGGUGAGGUAAAAGCUCACCAAGCCUGCGAUCUGUAGCUGGUCUGAGAGGACGACCAGCCACACUGGAACUGAGACACGGUCCAGACUCCUACGGGAGGCAGCAGUGGGGAAUUUUGGACAAUGGACGCAAGUCUGAUCCAGCAAUGCCGCGUGCAGGACGAAGGCCUUCGGGUUGUAAAGCUCUUUUGUCCGGAAAGAAAAGCGCCGGGUUAAUACCCUGGUGUCCUGACGGUACCGGAAGAAUAAGCACCGGCUAACUUCGUG
rnacentral:rRNA from 1 species